rnacentral:misc_RNA from 1 species
CCUGACCGCCCCGUUUGAACGGACGGUCAGUGGGGCGUGCUCGACGGCAUUGUGGGCCGCGACGGCGCUGCACGUCGAGGAUCGCGAAGGGGAUUGGGACCGGUGGCAGGGUGCGUACGUUCCUGCGGUUGGCGUCGCGGGCGGGGAGAGCGAGAUGGCAAGGGACGAGCGGCGCGAGGCGCAGCUGUGGAGCAUGAGCGAGG